GCAGGUCAUGACAUUCCUUCAGCUCAUGUCGCAAAAUUGGUUAAUGGAGUUGCAAUUCGCUCUUCAAAUUAUUCGCCAAGGUUGCAGCAUUCCAAUGGUUGGUGUCGCCACAUCUAUCUAAGCUAUUGCAGUUUGUCCUCCAAGUCCAUAUUCAGAGUCACAACAUAUUCUAGCUUGUGUCCCGAUUUUCAUAUGGAUAUUUGGUUUUUCAGGAUUAGUCACGGCCAAGGUCACAACAUUUUCCAGCUUUGUGUCAUGACCUCCAACACCGGUUCCACACAUCUUCCUUGAAGUUUUCAGCUAGCAACGUAACAC
rnacentral:lncRNA from 1 species